GGAUUGCGAUCUCUGGGCAUCACAGGAAAUAGCUGAAGGACGUAUGCACUUAUACAGCACGUCCUCACGGCCACAAGGCAGGGCGGACUCUCCCUCUGCUCUAUUAGCCCUGGGGAAAAAAACGGAAGAGCAAGGCCCAGACUCUAGACCUGGGGCGGCUCUGGCUUCUGCCAACAGCUGCAGUACCUACAGCUGUGGACAGGUCCCUGGCUGAGGACUUUGGAAUUGACGCCUGUGCUUUUAUUACCUACGUGCAGUUUUCAUUGUACUAUGUACUCCAUUUAUAGUAGACUCUCAGAUUAAGGCACGGUAAAGAGUGAAAUAGAAAAAAGUGGUGUUUUUUGGGUUUAUUGUUUUUUGCAGAAGUUCCCAGGCUAGGGGUUGAAUCGGAGCUGUAGCCACCGGCCUACGCCAGAGCCACAGCAACGCGGGAUCCGAGCCGCGUCUGCGACCUACACCACAGCUCACGGCAACGCCGGAUCCUUAACCCACUGAGCGAGGCCAGGGAUCAAACCCGCCACUUCAUGGUUCCUGGUUGGAUUCGUUAACCACUGCGCCAUGGCAGGAACUCCCAAAGUAUUUUUAAAUGCAGGUUAUCAUUCUUAUGAUAGAUAACCAGCAUCUAUGAAAGAAGAUUGUUCAAACGUUUCAAAAAAGUAAAAAUGUGGCCUUACUGGUUAGAAAGCAACGAGACGAAAGGUGACAGAGGCAGAACAGCUGGAAAGCGGGAAAGAAUCUCAUUGUUCCAGCCCCUCAGUCAUGUUCAGAAAGAGUAUUGCAGCUGGUGAAAAGAUAAUCAGGCCAGUUAACAGAGUGGACAGAGUGCAGGUGAGUUGUGUAAUGACGUGGAUGCUUCUUUUAUCGAAGGACUAAAGGGUUUUGAAAUGGUUCUAGGACGCGGAAGGUGACCUAGCAGAUGCUCUGGAAGGGAAGCAGCCACAAGGUAGAAAGUUGAUUUUCCUUAUGAAGGAAUUUAGAUGUGGUUUGGGUGUUUUGUUGUUGUUGUUGUUGUUUUGUAAUAUAGAAAGAUAAUGCAAAUCUAAUUGAAGCAACCUGAGUGGGCAGAAAGCUUCUGACCUUAGGUCAAGAUUAACAUUUACUUGGAGGUGAUUACUUUAGUGACUCAUCUAAACCCAGGAUGUGGUCUUAAGGAGAGGCUGAGUGCUUUGAGGUGAACAGGGUGCUGAGAUGUAUUUUCUUCAUUUUGUAGUCAUUACUAUAUGGCUUUUCUUUGAUCUUGUAGUAAUUUAUUGUUCCGUAGUGGUGGUAGAAAUAAGUUUGUUUUCUCGGGUAUGAAACAAAGCUUGUGGUGCUUCAGCUGGGUGGUGUACCUUCGUUGUGCCUGUUCAGCCUCUUGAUUUUGUGAUACAUGAACUUCUAAGGCCCUGCUGUCUCUCUGAGCAAGAGUAUUAGAAUUCUAGGCAGGAAUCAAGCACCUCCUAGCAGUUGAAUUACAAUUACAGUGUGAAUUACAGACUGAAAUCCUGUCACGGUGAAGGCAAUGUGACAGAUUUGAUCCUUGGCCUGGAAACCAUGUAUGUGAAGGUGUCGGGCCUCUGGAUGACUUGUCCCUUGAACCUCGUCUCUCACUGCUGUAAGAGAGUGGGAUUUCAGUAUUGCUCAGUGGCACGUUUCUAAAAACGUGGUUGUGUUUAUGCGUUUUAGCCCUCUGUCUUGGAUGUAUGGAGGGGUGGGCAUGGAUGAUCUUUCUUGGCUACUUUAAUUCCAAUGAGUGCCUUAUAUUUAGCAGAAAAUACCCCCAAAGUCUGCAUAGAUGUCUGUCUUGAGCCAAUGACCUGUUUCAAUUCAAGCAGUGUCAUAUUCGAGUCUCCUCAUGAGCCUUGGGGAGGGUUAGGAAGUGUCCUCAGUGGCUCAGUAUCAAAAGGGAGUCACAGCAGGAGAAGUGAUUGCUCGGGUCAGGCUAGCAGAGUUUGGCCUUUGAAGACACGGAAGCUAAGCUGGCUUAGUUAAGAAAGUCAAGGCAUCCCCGCGGUGGUGAAGUGGAUCGGCAGCGUCUCUGCAGCACCUGGAUGCAGGUUCAAUCUGCAGGUUUGAUCCCCAGCUGGGCGCAGUGGGUUAAAGGAUCCAAUGUUGGAGUUCCCGUCGUGGUGAAGUGGUUAACGAAUCCGACUAGGAACCAUGAGGUUGUGGGUUCGAUCCCUGGCCUUGCUCAGUGGGUUCCGGAUCCGGCGUUGCUGUGAGCUGUGGUGUAGGUCGAAGACGAGGCUCGGAUCCCAUGUUGCUGUGGCUGUGGCGUAGGUCGGCGGCUACAGUUCCGAUUAGACCCCUAGCCUGAGAACCUCUAUGUGCCGUGGGAGCGGUCCUAGAAAAGGCAAAAAGACCGGGGAAAAAAAAAAAAAGAAAGAAAGAAAGAAAAAAGAAAGUAUCCAGUGUUGCUGCUGCCGCUGCUGCUGCAGGGUAGGUCUCAACAGCUGCUCAGAUCUGAUCCUUGGCCUGGAAGCUCCAUAGGUCAAAGUGUCAGGCCUCUGGAUGACUUGUUCCUUGAGCCUUCGCUCUUACUGCUCUAAGAGAGUAGGAUUUCAAUAUCAUUCUUCAUGUUCACAGAUUAAAACUAAGCUCUUUUAACUUCCUGGGUGCCACUUUCUAAGAGGUUUUCUGCUUUUGCAGUUUCCAAAAUUGAAUAGUGUUUCAAAUGCGAUAAUACUAGAGAAGUUUGGGGGUACAGAAUCAAUUACAAGUUAUUUUGGUUUGGGGCACUUCUACUCUGAUACACUCAGGUGUAGCUUUCGUGUUGUGUCCUGUUUAGGUGUUCCUGGAGCUUCUUCAGUCGGUGGCUUGAUACCAUUGCUCCAUUUUUGGAACGGUAUUUGUUCAAAUAUUGAUUCUGCUCCAUUUUUUUUCUCCCUCCCAGGUCUCCACUUACACGUAUGCCAGACCUUUUUCAUCAGCAGCCUCCUGUGUUUCUUAGCUCUUUUAUGUAGUUUUAAAAAAGCCUAUUUUUUUUCCAAUCUUUUCAGUCUGGACUGUUUUUGUUUCUUUUCCAUGGUGAUAAUUUUCAUACACCCUUCAAUCUCGAUGUUUUCUACAUAGUAGUUUCAGUUCACUAAUUCUUUCCUAAUCUGUUUAAACUGCUAGUAAACUUAUCUAUGGAUUUAAAAAAAAAAAAAAA
rnacentral:lncRNA from 1 species